rnacentral:lncRNA from 1 species
UUUUAGGAGAUGAAAAGUUUACUUUAAAAUUGCAAACAUUUAGCAAAGAUAAGACAUAAACGCUAUUUUCCAUAUUCUACAGAAAUAUAAUUUAUAGCUGGCUUGGUACAUGGUAACAUGAUUAAAAACAAAUCUAAUGGAAAAAAAAGAAUGGUUUCAUUCUACUUUUCUGCAACUUAUUACAAUUUAAUAAGUGUACCAAUAAGUACUGGAGGACAGCUGCAUGGGAAGAUUAGAAUCCUAGGGCUAUUUGCUAAAUACACAUUAUUGUAUUAUAAUGAUAAGAACAAAAUAGGUACAGAUAUACAAUAAACAUGCAAUUUAAGCUAUUAUUUUGAAGAAACAGGACAGAAUUUAGUGAACAUAUUGAAAAUGUAUUAUUAAUAAUGUGUGGUUAUAAUCAGUAUAUUAUGGUAUUUUACAAGGCAUGGAAUAACUUCCUCAAAUAAUGCUUGGCAAAAUGAAACAGGUUGAGCCAACUUCUAAAGAAAAUUUAAAACGAAGGCAAAGAAAAACAAGUGGAUAAUUCAGUUCGAUUCUCUUCUAAGUAU